GGUCGUGUAGCUCAGUUGGUUAGAGCGUUGGUCUUAUGAGCCGAAAAUCGUGGGUUCGAGCCGAACCCACCAAGACCA